CGGGAUGCCUUCACAUGUCCUUCGAACGGCAGCACGGACUUCGGUCUGGUGGCGAGUGGCGAACGGGUGAGUAAUGUAUCGGAACGUGCCCAGUAGCGGGGGAUAACUACGCGAAAGCGUAGCUAAUACCGCAUACGCCCUACGGGGGAAAGCAGGGGAUCGCAAGACCUUGCACUAUUGGAGCGGCCGAUAUCGGAUUAGCUAGUUGGUGGGGUAACGGCUCACCAAGGCGACGAUCCGUAGCUGGUUUGAGAGGACGACCAGCCACACUGGGACUGAGACACGGCCCAGACUCCUACGGGAGGCAGCAGUGGGGAAUUUUGGACAAUGGGGGAAACCCUGAUCCAGCCAUCCCGCGUGUGCGAUGAAGGCCUUCGGGUUGUAAAGCACUUUUGGCAGGAAAGAAACGUCGCGGGUUAAUACCUCGCGGAACUGACGGUACCUGCAGAAUAAGCACCGGCUAACUACGUGCCAGCAGCCGCGGUAAUACGUAGGGUGCAAGCGUUAAUCGGAAUUACUGGGCGUAAAGCGUGCGCAGGCGGUUCGGAAAGAAAGAUGUGAAAUCCCAGAGCUUAACUUUGGAACUGCAUUUUUAACUACCGGGCUAGAGUGUGUCAGAAGGAGGUGGAAUUCCGCGUGUAGCAGUGAAAUGCGUAGAUAUGCGGAGGAACACCGAUGGCGAAGGCAGCCUCCUGGGAUACACUGACGCUCAUGCACGAAAGCGCGGGGAGCAACAGGAUUAGAUACCCUGGUAGUCCC
rnacentral:rRNA from 1 species